rnacentral:sRNA from 1 species
ACUGGGCGUGGUGGUUUAUGCCUGUAAUCCCAGCAACUCCGGAGGCUGAGGCAGGAGUAUCACAAGUUCAAAGCCAGCCUCAGCAAUUUAGCAAGGCCCUAAGCAACUUAGUGAGACCCUGUCUCAA